rnacentral:miRNA from 1 species
AUCCUGCAGAAGCAGGAGGAAGAGGAAGAAAUGUUUGGUUCUCAGGGACUAUUGACAUCCAUGGCUGUGGCCACAGUAUUCUCCCUGG